rnacentral:rRNA from 1 species
CGGGGUGAGUAACACGUGGAUAACCUACCUAUAAGACUGGGAUAACUUCGGGAAACCGGAGCUAAUACCGGAUAAUAUAUUGAACCGCAUGGUUCAAUAGUGAAAGACGGUUUUGCUGUCACUUAUANAUGGAUCCGCGCUGCAUUAGCUAGUUGGUAAGGUAACGGCUUACCAAGGCAACGAUGCGUAGCCGACCUGAGAGGGUGAUCGGCCACACUGGAACUGAGACACGGUCCAGACUCCUACGGGAGGGCAGCAGAG